AACGAACGCUGGCGGCAUGCCUAACACAUGCAAGUCGAACGAGACCUUCGGGUCUAGUGGCGCACGGGUGCGUAACGCGUGGGACCUGCCCUUAGGUUCGGAAUAACUCCCCGAAAGGGGUGCUAAUACCGGAUAAUGUCUUCGGACCAAAGAUUUAUCGCCUUUGGAUGGGCCCGCGUUGGAUUAGCUAGUUGGUAGUGUAAAAGCCUUCCAAGGCGACGAUACAUAGCUGGUCUGAGAGGAUGAUCAGCCACACUGGGACUGAGACACGGCCCAGACUCCUACGGGAUGCAGCAGUGGGGAAUAUAGGACGAUAGGCGGAAGCCUGAUCCAGCCAUGCGGCGUGAGUGAUGAAGGCCUUAGGGUUGUAAAGCUCUUUUACCCGGGAUGAUAAUGACAGUACCGGGAGAAUAAGCUCCGGCUAACUCCGUG
rnacentral:rRNA from 1 species